rnacentral:snRNA from 1 species
AUGGCUUCUCAGCUUUUUGACUAAGAUCAAGUG